UCUAACUGUCAGUCUAGCGUGUAGCCACUAAACUUCGAGGUUAGUUUGUUUAUCGCUCUUACCUCACUUCUACGAAGAAGUUCCCAAGCCCUCUCGGUAAACACGGCCGACAUUCACACGACGGUACGCGGGUCGCGGUAAACAAUCUCUUUUGAACUGUGAAUACAUACGAAGCCGUAUGUAUAGUGUAUACGCAUUUGGCAAGCACGUGGCACGAGUUAUCUCGAAACAGAGUCGAAUCUACGCGCGACAUGAUGGACGUAUGGUGGACUAUAUUUUUCUAUUGUACAGGAUACCUCAGUAUCAGUUUACUUGAAGCUGUUACAAACUAUUAAGAGAAUGUAAUUAAGCUGAGAAUGUAGAUAAUGCCACGUAUAUUAAACUUGGGAUAGUUGAAAUAUCCUACCAUCAGCGUUUAACCACGACUCACGUUUUAAUUCCUUGAAUCGCGUCAAAAGGGUCAGGAUGGUGCAGUGGUGGAAUUAAUUCAGCGCUCUCGUGCAAAGCUAGGUUAGUGAUGCUUAAUUUUUCGCAAGUACAAUGGACGACUGCGUUGCAUGCAGGAUGAAGUUGGUAUUACUUUCAUUAAGAAGUUAAUAUUUUACGAGAUACGCGAAUAGAAAGCGCGAAGCGUAAUGCAGGCAGCAAAUACAAACCGGCGCAAUAAUCUCUCAGUAGAAUGGGAUAGUAGGAGCGUGGCAGGCAGAAGGUAAAUGCAGAAAUUUGCGGCCAACUAAAUGGCGACAUACGAGCUCGAAGAUUUAAUUGCAUAGCCCUCGUGUCUGUAAUAGAAAUCCUUUCCACGAACUCUAUAAACUGGCUCGUGCUUCAAACAGGGUUGCUCGUUUUACUCUUGAAAUCGCGUAUGCAGGGUACUUCAGCGACGAUCGACCAAUGCAAAAGCAAUGCAAACAUUUCACAUAUAACUGUUUCACACGAAAAUAUUCUACUCGACUGUGUUCUCGAAGUAAAAUUGUUUUUCUGCUCCUAUAAGUUGCAGCUGCUUACUUUGUAGAUAACAGACGAAAAUGAUCGUUAUCUUUAACAUGAACUCGAGACUGCAGUGUUUGUGUCACAGAGUGGUCCAAUUUUUCAAAGGUCAGAAAUACGAAUCGAUUUGUUGAAAGGAAAUUUUACGCAAUGCUGAAUUUCUUAAACUCUCGUGUGGAAUUUUUAUCUAAAUUAGACGAUGACGAUUGUUAUUUUAAUUACACGAACUUGCAAUUGUAAUAGUAGAUGAGGCAAACUAAAUUCCAAUCCAAUUAUCCGAAUGUGGAUCCUAACUAUCUGCAUAUUUAUUCGCGAAUUACAGGUAAAGGAGGAAAUUGGAGAAUUUCUAUUGUUAAUGCUUGUCCUCCUGUGUAUUUAGGAAAUUCUACGGUAUUUACCUAACAUAACAUAGCAACGGUAUAAAACGUACACGCAAUAAAUUUUGUUAGUGAAAUCAGUUAUAGUAGUUUACAGUACAGAAGUCAUAGUUCAUAAUUCGGAAAUGUGAUACAUAAUGUACCUAUUUAUAUAAGUUGUUUUCUCUGUUUUCUCCCGUUAUUGAAGGACACUUUGUAUAAGUCUCCACAGAAAUCGAUAAAAUAUCUUAUAGAAAGUUUCGGAACUUUAUCUUGUUCGUGAAGAUCAACGAGGGCAGGAAUUAUAAAAUAUGUAGUUCUCGUGGGAUUCGUGUUCAAAAAUCGUUCUUGGAAGUUGGAGAGAGACGUGGCGAAACGUACAGGGGAACAUUACCCAAGAGAAUUAUUAGCCAUUGCACGGAUCCUCAAACUCGACCACUACGUGACGCAGAGAAAUGGGAAUACAGGAAGCAAAUGUCCUGGGAACGUUUGAACAGCGUGCACGAGGUCCUCGUAAGUUCGCUCCCAAACGCUGUUAUCAAAAUGGCAGUACGUGAUUCGUCUACUUGCCUAUUUACUUUGCAUUUGGUAAAUACGGAGCAAGGUACGAUUCGAUAACUGAUUUGAAAAUUGAGGCGAUACAUGCGAACCGGCGGCACGUAAACGAAUAAAUUUUAAAUAAUUUGAACUGAGAGAUCAUAAUGUUCUUGCAUGUUUAGAGAUAUUAUGGACAAUGAGUUAAAGAACGAAACAUUUAAUAGCUUCA